AUUGAACGCUGGCGGCAGGCCUAACACAUGCAAGUCGAACGGUAACAGAAAGCAGCUUGCUGCUUUGCUGACGAGUGGCGGACGGGUGAGUAAUGUCUGGGAAACUGCCUGAUGGAGGGGGAUAACUACUGGAAACGGUAGCUAAUACCGCAUAACGUCGCAAGCCCAAAGAGGGGGACCUUCGGGCCUCUUGCCAUCGGAUGUGCCCAGAUGGGAUUAGCUAGUAGGUGGGGUAACGGCUCACCUAGGCGACGAUCCCUAGCUGGUCUGAGAGGAUGACCAGCCACACUGGAACUGAGACACGGUCAAGACUCCUACGGGAGGCAGCAGUGGGGAAUAGUGCACAAUGGGCGCAAGCCUGAUGCAGCCAUGCCGCGUGUAUGAAGAAGGCCUUCGGGUUGUAAAGUACUUUCAGCGGGGAGGAAGGGAGUAAAGUUAAUACCUUUGCUCAUUGACGUUACCCGCAGAAGAAGCACCGGCUAACUCCGUG
rnacentral:rRNA from 1 species